rnacentral:rRNA from 1 species
UCGGGAAUUUUGGGCAAUGGGGGAAACCCUGACCCAGCAACGCCGCGUGAAGGAUGAAGUAUUUCGGUAUGUAAACUUCGAAAGAAUAGGAAGAAUAAAUGACGGUACUAUUUAUAAGGUCCGGCUAACUACGUGCCAGCAGCCGCGGUAAUACGUAGGGACCAAGCGUUGUUCGGAUUUACUGGGCGUAAAGGGCGCGUAGGCGGCAUGACAAGUCACUUGUGAAAUCUCCGAGCUUAACUCGGAACGGUCAGAUGAUACUGCUGUGCUAGAGUACAGAAGGGGCAAUCGGAAUUCUUGGUGUAGCGGUGAAAUGCGUAGAUAUCAAGAGGAACACCUGAGGUGAAGACGGGUUGCUGGGCUGAUACUGACGCUGAGGCGCGAAAGCUAGGGUAGCAAACGGGAUUAGAUACCCCCGUAGUCCCUGAGCGGGCUGGCAAGGCGCAU